CGUGACCUACCCUGUAGUUCCGGGCUUUUGUUUUAAAGGCAUUUUGUUCUAUGAAUGCAUUUCAUGCUUAUCAGAAGCUCGUCUCUACAGGUAUCUCACAG
rnacentral:pre_miRNA from 1 species